UACGUAGGGUGCAAGCGUUGUCCGGAAUUAUUGGGCGUAAAGAGCUCGUAGGCGGUUCGUCGCGUCGGCUGUGAAAACCCGGAGCUCAACUCCGGGCCUGCAGUCGAUACGGGCGGACUAGAGUUCGGCAGGGGAGACUGGAAUUCCUGGUGUAGCGGUGAAAUGCGCAGAUAUCAGGAGGAACACCGGUGGCGAAGGCGGGUCUCUGGGCCGAUACUGACGCUGAGAAGCGAAAGCGUGGGGAGCGAACAGG
rnacentral:rRNA from 1 species